rnacentral:rRNA from 1 species
GACGUAGGGCGCGAGCGUUGUCCGGAUUUAUUGGGCGUAAAGAGCUCGUAGGCGGCUUGUCGCGUCGACUGUGAAAUCCCGCGGCUCAACUGCGGGUCUGCAGUCGAUACGGGCAGGCUAGAGUUCGGUAGGGGAGACUGGAAUUCCUGGUGUAGCGGUGAAAUGCGCAGAUAUCAGGAGGAACACCCGGUGGCGAAGGCGGGACUCUGGGCCGAUACUGACGCUGAGGAAGCGAAAGGCGUGGGGGAGCAAACGGG